UCUCAACCCUGGCAGGUGUGGCUGCUGUGUCACAUGUGCGUCAGUAGGUGGCAGAGAGGAGAGAGGCUAUGGUUCUGCCCUGGGAAUAUCUGAAUGGUUAGUAACCUAACACU
rnacentral:snoRNA from 1 species